AAGUCUGAGGUUUCUUUGUUGCAAUGUUGGGGUCUGAGAGUAGACUUCUGGAGGCUGCGGGCGGGAAGCACAGCUGACCCCACCCCCCAUGUCUUGUCAUCAGUUACCUAGUCUGAAACGCUAAGGCGGAAAAAGUGGCAAUGAGCUGGAAGACAUGCCCAGCCUGCAGGCCCAGGAUAGAAGCUGGCGGCCUGAGGCAGAGGGACCCCAGAUCUCUGAGGGGCACCAGGAGUGCUCGUGGCUGCAGAACACAGAUGUGGUGAACAAUUGGAAGAUGUUGGCCUAACAGAUGGCAGCAGAUUUAAAAAUAAAAUUUAUAAGAAGUUA